UACGUAGGGGGCAAGCGUUGUCCGGAAUUAUUGGGCGUAAAGAGCUCGUAGGCGGUUUGUCGCGUCUGCUGUGAAAACUGGAGGCUCAACCUCCAGCCUGCAGUGGGUACGGGCAGACUAGAGUGCGGUAGGGGAGAGUGGAAUUCCUGGUGUAGCGGUGGAAUGCGCAGAUAUCAGGAGGAACACCGAUGGCGAAGGCAGAUCUCUGGGCCGUAACUGACGCUGAGGAGCGAAAGCGUGGGGAGCGAACGGG
rnacentral:rRNA from 1 species